rnacentral:SRP_RNA from 1 species
GCUGGGCAUGGUGGCAUGCACGUAUAGUACCAGCUACUCAGGAGGCUGAAGCGGGAGGAUCACUUGAGCCUAGGAGUUCUGGGCUGUGGUGUGCUAUGCCAAUCAGGUGUCUGCACUAAGUUUGACAUCAAUAUGGUGACCUCUCAGGAGCAAGGGACCACCAGGUUGCCUAAGGAGGGAUGAAUUGGCCCAGAUUGGAAACGGAGCAGGGCAGCGCACUCCCUUGCUGAUCAGCAGUAGGGUUGUGCCUGUGAAUAGCCACUGCACUCUAGCCUGGGCAAUACAGCGAGACCCUGUCUCUA